rnacentral:rRNA from 1 species
CGCGUAGGUGGUUUGGUCAGUCAGAUGUGAAAGCCCCGGGCUCAACCUGGGAACUGCAUUUGAUACUGCUGAACUAGAGUAUGGUAGAGGGAAGUGGAAUUCCGGGUGUAGCGGUGAAAUGCGUAGAGAUCCGGAGGAACAUCAGUGGCGAAGGCGGCUUCCUGGACCAAUACUGACACUGAGGUGCGAAAGCGUGGGUAGCAAACA